CCUUCGGGAGGCAGCAGUGGGGAAUUUUGGACAAUGGGCGCAAGCCUGAUCCAGCCAUGCCGCGUGAGUGAAGAAGGCCUUCGGGUUGUAAAGCUCUUUUAUCCGGGAAGAAAUCGUGUUGGCUAAUACCCGGCGGGGAUGACGGUACCCGAAGAAUAAGCACCGGCUAACUUCGUGCCAGCAGCCGCGGUAAUACGAAGGGUGCAAGCGUUAAUCGGAAUUACUGGGCGUAAAGCGUGCGUAGGCGGUUUUGUAAGUCAGAUGUGAAAGCCCCGGGCUCAACCUGGGAAUUGCAUUUGAGACUGGGAGGCUAGAGUGCGGUAGAGGGUGGUGGAAUUUCCGGUGUAGCGGUGAAAUGCGUAGAGAUCGGGAGGAACAUCCAUGGCGAAGGCAGCCCCCUGGGCCAGCUCUGACGCUGAGGCACGAAAGCGUGGGGAGCAAACA
rnacentral:rRNA from 1 species